UGUGUGUGUGAGUGAUGCUGUGGGAUUGUCUCCAGUCAGUAGGUGUGAGUGAUGCGUCAGUAGGUGUGAGUGAUGCUGUGGGAUCGUCUCCGGUCAGUAGGUGUGAGUGAUGCUGUGGGAUCGUCUCCGGUCAGUAGGUGUGAGUGAUGCUGUGGGAUCGUCUCCGGUCAGUAGGUGUGAGUGAUGCUGUGGGAUCGUCUCCGGUAGGUGUGAGUGAUGCUGUGGGAUCGUCUCCGGUCAGUAGGUGUGUGAGUGAUGCUGUGGGAUCGGCUCCGGUCAGUAGGUGUGAGUGAUGCUGUGGGAUCGUCUCCGGUCAAGUAGGUGUGAGUGAUGCUGUGGGAUCGUCUCCGGUCAAGUAGGUGUGAGUGAUGCUGUGGGAUCGUCUCCGGUCAAGUAGGUGUGAGUGAUGCUGUGGGAUCGUCUCCGG
ensembl:lncRNA